GCUUUUGGUUCAGUGGUAGAAUGCUCGCCUCCCACGCGGGCGGCCCGGGUUCGAUUCCUGGCCGAUGCA
rnacentral:tRNA from 1 species